UACGGGGGGGGCAAGCGUUGUUCGGAAUUACUGGGCGUAAAGGGCGCGUAGGCGGCCUGCUAAGUCGAACGUGAAAUCCCUGGGCUCAACCCAGGAACUGCGUCCGAUACUGGUUGGCUUGAAUCCGGGAGAGGGAUGUGGAAUUCCAGGUGUAGCGGUGAAAUGCGUAGAUAUCUGGAGGAACACCGGUGGCGAAGGCGACAUCCUGGACCGGUAUUGACGCUGAGGCGCGAAAGCUAGGGGAGCAAACGGG
rnacentral:rRNA from 1 species